CUCUCUCUCUCUCUCUCUCGCGGUCUGAAUCUCUCAAUCCCUUCUCCUUCAUGUUCUUCUCAAUCCCAAUCUGGUGAGUGGGCUCCUGUUGUAUGCUGAUAUGGGAUUGGGGCAGUUGGCUGGGGAGUCGUGCUUUCUCUCUCUCUUUUCCCUUCCCAUCCAACGAAGCCUCCUCGAGCAACCUCAAAAGGUUCGACCAGAGAGAGAGACAGACAUUUCGAAUCCUAAAGCUUCCAACUUUUCUCUCUCUACUCUUCUCUUUUUUUUUUUUAGGGCUGAAAUGUGUUCUGUCACUCGAUCUCUGGACGACACGGUCCAUGGCGUUGUCUACUUCAGAAAAGGUUCACAGACAGAGCUGAAACUUGAUGCUGGGGUUUUGCUUUGUUCCUACAUUUCAAGUGAACAAAUCUUAUAUUACUUGGAGGUAUUCUCAGAAGUAAUGAAUUAAUACACCUAAGAUUUGGCAUUGGGAAUGAAGCCAUUGGUCCGUGUAGCAUAUUCAUGUAUGUAUCGAAUUAAUAUUUCCUCUAGCAGACACCAUGCUUAUGGAUGUGAAUCCAGAAACUCUAAGAUUUGUCUUUUUUUUAUAUGAGUUUCAAUAGUCUAAAUGGGAUUCAAGUUUUGAAAUGGGUUUGAAAUAUACAAGUGUUCUCUAGCCUUGUCUAAAUCAAUUUUAUGUUUUUGUUUUUCCAUUUUUUUCAUUAUGUAAUGCAAUCUAUAAUAUCUAUGAAGUUCAUGUCUUCUUCUUUGUAGUUUUGCACCUUAAAUGUUUAUUUAUUUACUUCAUUGAACUUCAAUGUAAUGGCUUUCAUUUUCCUACAUAUUUCCUACAACUACAAAGGGUUUUGCACCUUAAAUGUUUAUUUAUUUACUGUGGUCUAUGAUUUGUUUGUAGUAAUUCUCCAUAUGGUAUGUAGAUUCAAUCAUUUCACUUUUUAUUGGAUUGAAACAUUUGUCUAAUCUUUUUAUUUUGUUAGGAUUUCCCCUCUUGUUUGUGACAGGAAACAAACAAGAAUUCUGCAUGUCAAGUGUUUGAAGAUAUUUCCGAGAGAUAACCCAUCAACCCAUCAAACCAUCAACCCAAUGCUGUUGAAAAACUUAUGGAACAUUUCUUUUCUCCUUGAGUAGGGGUGGUAGUGAUUUGACAACCACAACCAUUGGUAAAGCUCUGGGGUUGCGAGAAAUUCAGGUCAAUGCUUACCCUAAAUACAUUUAUGUCAAAAGUUGUUCAUAUAUCUGCAUAUGUAUACAUGGAUAUGGGAUAACAUUGUAGAUAACAUACUAUGGAAUAGUGUGAAACAGUGUAUUCUUAUGAGCUCUAGUUGUAUGAAAAUUUAAUUCAGGUUCUAUAAUUUGUAAUUGCACGACUUCCAUACAAGUUUCUAGACAAAUAAGAACAUGUUUUUCAAUCCAUUACUGGUGUGGAAGGAUGUUGAUGGUGUUUUGACGUGUGAUCCUAACAUAUAUGCACUCGCAGAACCUGUGCCAUAUCUAACAUUUGAGGACCUGGCAGAGCUUGUUUAUUUUGGUGCUCAGGUAUCAUUUUAGGGAAAUUCUACUAUACACACCUCCUACCUUAUGCACCCCUAAGUUAUUUCAUUUUCUUCUUUAGUUAUGACCAAUUUUCUUAUUUAGUUAUGACCUUAUUUUAGUUAUAAUUCAUGAGAUCUUUGGUUAUGCGUCAUGUGUUGUUUGGUUAUAGCCUCUCUUUUUUUUUUUUUUUUAGUUAUGACUCUGAAAGUAUAAAGUUAUGUCAUUUUAUUUUUUAGUUAUGAGGUGCAUACGGUACACCCCAAUCUAGAAACAAACACUGCUAGACAAAACAAAUGGAGGUAGACUAUGAAUUUUCCAUAAGCCCCAUCCAGAAGGAUGAUGGACAAAAACAAAUCAAAGGCUUCCAUAACCUGCGAACCAAGAGCCCCAAAACU